rnacentral:rRNA from 1 species
GUGGGGAAUAUUGCGCAAUGGGCGAAAGCCUGACGCAGCGACGCCGCGUGGGUGAUGAAGGUCUUCGGAUCGUAAAGCCCUGUUGGAGAGGGAAGAAUAACUGGUGGGCUAAUAUCCCAUCGGCCUGACGGUACCUCUUCAGAAAGCACCGGCUAACUCCGUGCCAGCAGCCGCGGUAAUACGGAGGGUGCUAACGUUGUUCGGAAUCACUGGGCGUAAAGCGCGUGUAGGCGGCGUUGCAAGUCAGGUGUGAAAUCCCUUGGCUCAACUGAGGAAGUGCACUUGAAACUGCUUCGCUAGAGUACGGGAGAGGGUAGUAGAAUUCCCGGUGUAGAGGUGAAAUUCGUAGAUAUCGGGAGGAAUACCGGUGGCGAAGGCGGCUACCUGGACCGAUACUGACGCUGAGACGCGAAAGCGUGGGGAGCAAACAGGAUUAGAAACCCCAGUAGUCC